GAUGAACGCUGGCGGCGUGCCUAAUACAUGCAAGUCGAGCGAAUGGAUUAAGAGCUUGCUCUUAUGAAGUUAGCGGCGGACGGGUGAGUAACACGUGGGUAACCUGCCCAUAAGACUGGGAUAACUCCGGGAAACCGGGGCCAAUACCGGAUAACAUUUUGUACCGCAUGGUUCGAAAUUGAAAGGCGGCUUCGGCUGUCACUUAUGGAUGGACCCGCGUCGCAUUAGCUAGUUGGUGAGGUAACGGCUCACCAAGGCAACGAUGCGUAGCCGACCUGAGAGGGUGAUCGGCCACACUGGGACUGAGACACGGCCCAGACUCCUACGGGAGGCAGCAGUAGGGAAUCUUCCGCAAUGGACGAAAGUCUGACGGAGCAACGCCGCGUGAGUGAUGAAGGCUUUCGGGUCGUAAAACUCUGUUGUUAGGGAAGAACAAGUGCUAGUUGAAUAAGCUGGCACCUUGACGGUACCUAACCAGAAAGCCACGGCUAACCACGUGCCAGCCGCCGCAGUAA
rnacentral:rRNA from 1 species